rnacentral:rRNA from 1 species
CACUUUGUCCGGAACGAACGGCGGAUGCCAAUACCAUCCGUUAAUGACGGUACCGGAAGAAUAAGCACCGGCUAACUACGUGC